ACGGGUGCGUAACGCGUGGGAACCUGCCCUUAGGUUCGGAAUAACUCAGAGAAAUUUGAGCUAAUACCGGAUAAUGUCUUCGGACCAAAGAUUUAUCGCCUUUGGAUGGGCCCGCGUUGGAUUAGCUAGUUGGUGGGGUAAAGGCCUACCAAGGCGACGAUCCAUAGCUGGUCUGAGAGGAUGAUCAGCCACACUGGGACUGAGACACGGCCCAGACUCCUACGGGAGGCAGCAGUGGGGAAUAUUGGACAAUGGGCGAAAGCCUGAUCCAGCAAUGCCGCGUGAGUGAUGAAGGCCUUAGGGUUGUAAAGCUCUUUUACCCGGGAUGAUAAUGACAGUACCGGGAGAAUAAGCUCCGGCUAACUCCGUGCCAGCAGCCGCGGUAAUACGGAGGGAGCUAGCGUUGUUCGGAAUUACUGGGCGUAAAGCGCACGUAGGCGGCUUUUUAAGUCAGGGGUGAAAUCCCGGGGCUCAACCCCGGAACUGCCCUUGAAACUGGGAAGCUAGAAUCUUGGAGAGGCGAGUGGAAUUCCGAGUGUA
rnacentral:rRNA from 2 species